CCCCUAGAUGUUCUGGGCCGCACGCGCGCUACACUGAACAGUUCAACAAGUCUUAACCUUGGCCGAUAGGUCUGGGUAAUCUUUGAACGCUGUUCGUGAUUGGGAUAGACCUUUGCAAUUAUGGGUCUUCAACGAGGAAUUCCUAGUAAACGCAAGUCAUCAGCUUGCAUUGAUUACGUCCCUGCCCUUUGUACACACCGCCCGUCGCACCUACCGAUUGAAUGGUCCGGUGAAAUCUCGGGACGGCGGCUUGGUCGCUUGCGUCCGACUGCUGAAACUUGAUUAAACCAUNUNAUUUAGNGGAAGGUGAGNUCGUANCA
rnacentral:rRNA from 1 species